UACCGAACCACAAUGAUCUGUCCACACAAACUGUAAUGCAGGCACAGAUGCCGGCAAACCAGGAGUUUGCUGGCGAAUUAAACUUCGAAUUGUUGCCGAACCAACAAGAUGGAAGCAAGUCUUGGGUGGUAAUUUUCUCUCCUUAGUAAUUGACCUCUGCAAAGUCAACGCGCAACUUAGUUAUAAUGUUUGGGGACGGCAGAAUUUCAGUCGCCAGGUUGUGAGUUGCCAUGUUAUGACGACGAGUUGAAAUAUUGAGGAGAGUUAAAAAUCCUGCCAACGAUUACUCCGCGAAGCUGCAAAAAGUUUUUAUUGAGAUGGAAAAAACUCUGCCUUUAUGGGUCAAAUGGUCACCACCACACGGCCAGCUUUAUGUAAGGGCUGGAAUGGCUUUUUGCGAGCCCACCCACCGGUCAGAUCCUG
rnacentral:misc_RNA from 1 species